CACGUAGGGGGCGAGCGUUGUCCGGAAUCAUUGGGCGUAAAGAGCUCGUAGGCGGCUCAGUAAGUCGGGUGUGAAACCCUCAGGCUCAACCUGGGGACGCCACCCGAUACUGCUGUGGCUAGAGUCCAGUAGGGGAGUGUGGAAUUCCCGGUGUGAGCGGUGAAAUGCGUAGAUAUGCGGAGGAACACCGAUGGCGAAGGCAAUCCCCUGGGCCUGCGACUGACGCUCAUGCACGAAAGCGUGGGGAGCAAACAGG
rnacentral:rRNA from 1 species